UACGAAGGGGGCUAGCGUUGCUCGGAAUCACUGGGCGUAAAGGGCGCGUAGGCGGCCAUUCAAGUCGGGGGUGAAAGCCUGUGGCUCAACCACAGAAUUGCCUUCGAUACUGUUUGGCUUGAGUUUGGUAGAGGUUGGUGGAACUGCGAGUGUAGAGGUGAAAUUCGAUAGAUAUUCGCAAGAACACCAGUGGCGAAGGCGGCCAACUGGACCAAUACUGACGCUGAGGCGGCGAAAAGCGU
rnacentral:rRNA from 1 species